GGUCCAAAAAGCUUGGGGAGGGCUUUCACCUACCUUAUUUUACCUCCAUCUUCUCACAUACACACUCAGUCUCAGGCUGCUUUGCAGACAGCUGCUUAUGUGCCAUGUUUGAGUAGAUAUGCAACAGAACAGUACGGUUCCAAACAAAGAAGGAAAGUGCAUGAAGAUAAAAAAUGGGGUUGCAGAGAAUGAGCAUGAAAUACUCUUUACAGGCUUGCCUUAUCUCCUGGGCUGCACUUUCUCUCAGAAACUGGAGACCAGCUUUCUAUUCUUACAGCUCAGGGUGCUGAACUUGCCGGAGGAGUAUGGCAUCAGGCUUCUGCUCUAAGCCAUCAGCACUCUCAGGCUGCUGUUUUCCAGAACACCAUUGCUGCCUCACCUCCUUUCCUGAGUGCUUUAUGUGACAGCGAUUUCAGCAGGCUGAAUGUGCUGCAGAGCUAGAAGGGCAGCUGUUCAUCUGCUGCAUUCCAGUGCAAGAGCUCCAGCAGGAACGUUCACACCUCCAGCCAACGCAAUUGCCAUCAAUGCUGCCAGCAGGAUCUCUCCUGAGGAUACAGGGACUGUGUGGUCUCGGGGUGGAGGACCAAGCACAGAACUGGGUGCAGCAGAAGUGAAUGCACCCCAUGCUGACAGGCUGAUGGUGACCCCAAAAGCCAGGAUGACUUUUGGCUACAACUCCUGAAGGCUCUUGAAUUGCCAGAGAAAGAGAAGAUGCCUGCUGCUCCAAAGAGGAAAGGUCCCUUGUAUUCCCAGUGUCCCUGGCUCCUGCCUUUUGCUGACCACUUCUCCUCCAUGCUGACCAUGGGAUGACAAGGGAGGGGAAGCACUAGAAGGGCAAGGAGUCCUGUAAUGGCUACAUCAUGCCACAACCCUUGUUGUUUCCUUAUGUUUCAUGAAAAACUAACUGUAGCCAACUUUGCGAACUUUAUCUGAAGAACUCAGAUAAGCUCUAAAAGCACAAGUGUUUCCUUUGUUCUGACUAAGUCUCUAUGAAGUUUCAUUACUAUCUAGGCCUUUUUAUUGAUAUUUUAUUAAUUUGUAUACUACAAUAAGCAGCAGUUGCAAGUGACUCUAAAACAGCUGGGGUAUAGCACAAGUCAGUUAUUAACUGGAAAAACAUGAAUACUGUGAAUGACAAGUGUUUGAUAGACAGAUUUUUCUGAUAAUGCAAAAGGCAAAGAAGGCCUAGGACUGGAACUGCCAAAGAAUGCUCCUUCUGCAUGUUACUCUGGCAACUCCUGGAAGAAAAGUCUUACUGAUUGUCCAGACCUGACUCUCAAGGUUUCCUCCUGCUUGACUUUUAGUCCAAGGCUUGUGUUUUGGGCUGAACAAUUAUGUAGGUUUGCAAAAGCCAAAAGGUUCUCUUUAGCAUUAUGUACAAUCCCUAUCUGUGGAGGUACCCUGGGAGCUCUUCACAGACACAAACUCUAAGAGGGCUCUGCAUAUGCAAACAGGUGAGUGAGCCCUCUGAUAGCAAUAGCUAAUGGUAUUAUCAGGUCUUGUACUGAUAUUAAAAGCCAUGUGGAUUUUGGUCCUUUACCACAAGGUGCUGCUCCCUUUUAGAGGCAUUUGGUUCUGGUAAAGUCCGGUUCCAUUUUUUUCAUGCUGCUAUGUAGCAAAUUAAGCCUUGGUGAGAAGUAUGGGCAAAUAAACUCUCAAACAUCUUGUUUUCA
rnacentral:lncRNA from 1 species